GGGCGAUUAGCUCAGUGGGAGAGCGCUUCCUUCACACGGAAGAGGCCACUGGUUCGAUCCCAGUAUCGCCCACCA
rnacentral:tRNA from 4 species